AUUGAACGCUAGCGGGAUGCUUUACACAUGCAAGUCGAACGGCAGCGCGGACUUCGGUCUGGCGGCGAGUGGCGAACGGGUGAGUAAUGUAUCGGAACGUGCCCAGUAGCGGGGGAUAACUACGCGAAAGCGUAGCUAAUACCGCAUACGCCCUACGGGGGAAAGCAGGGGAUCGUAAGACCUUGCACUAUUGGAGCGGCCGAUUUCGGAUUAGCUAGUUGGUGAGGUAAAGGCUCACCAAGGCGACGAUCCGUAGCUGGUCUGAGAGGACGACCAGCCACACUGGGACUGAGACACGGCCCAGACUCCUACGGGAGGCAGCAGUGGGGAAUAUUGGACAAUGGGGGCAACCCUGAUCCAGCCAUCCCGCGUGUGCGAUGAAGGCCUUCGGGUUGUAAAGCACUUUUGGCAGGAAAGAAGCGUCGCGGGCUAAUACCCCGUGGAACUGACGGUACCUGCAGAAUAAGCACCGGCUAACUACGUG
rnacentral:rRNA from 1 species